AGCAGCCGCGGUAAUUCCAGCUCCAAUAGCGUAUAUUAAAGUUGUUGCAGUUAAAAAGCUCGUAGUUGAAUUUCGGGGUCAGCAGGUUGGUCGUGCCAACGGUAUGUACUGGCUUUGCUGAUUCCUCCUUCUUGUAGAACUGUAAUGCCAUUAAUUUGGUGUUGCAGGGAAACAGGACUGUUACUUUGAAAAAAUUAGAGUGUUUAAAGCAGGCUUACGCUUGAAUACAUUAGCAUGGAAUAAUGAAAUAGGACGUUGAUCCUAUUUUGUUGGUUUCUAGGAUUGACGUAAUGAUUAAUAGGGAUAGUUGGGGGCAUUAGUAUUCAAUUGUCAGAGGUGAAAUUCUUGGAUUUAUUGAAGACUAACUACUGCGAAAGCAUUUGCCAAGGAUGUUUUCAUUAAUCAAGAACGAAAGCUAGGGAUCGAAGACGAUCAGAUACCGUGUAGUCUUAACCAUAAACCUAUGCCGACUAGGGAUCGGAUGAUGUUAUUUUUAANGUACUCAUUCGGCGCCUUACGG
rnacentral:rRNA from 1 species